UAUUUGACUGUUUACCAAAAACAUAGCCAACUGCUAAAAAUAUUUAUUGUAUAGUUGGUGAGGCCUGCUCACUGAUUUAAAAUAAUACUAAUUAAUAUAAAUUUAAGAGCCGCGGUAACUCUGACCGUGCUAAGGUAGCAUAAUCAAUCGUCACUUAAUUGGUGUCUGGAAUGAAAGGCUAAACGAGUUUUCCACUGUCUCAACUAUAAGAUAAGUGAAAUUUAAUAAUUCGUCAAGAUUCGAAUUAAGCUUGAUAAGACGAGAAGACCCCGUUGAGCUUUACUUUGCUUUCUCUUAUCCUGAACACUAGAGAUUCUAUUGGUCAAGAAAAGAGAGAAAAAUAAGUUUGGUUGGGGCGACCUCCCAAAUAGAUGAAACUUGGGAAAACAAAGGUUUACUACAAUGAAGAAAGCUUUACUAAUAGACGCAUACGUUAGUUAGUUAGAAACUAUUCUAAGUCAUAGAGACCCGCCCUCGAACCGGGGGCGAUAAUAAAUAAAAGUUACCACGGGGAUAACAGGGUUAUCCAAUCCUAGAGUUCAUAUCGAAGAUUGGGUUUGCCACCUCGAUGUUGAAUAGCAGCAUCCUGAAGGUGCAGAAGCUUUCAAGGGUUGGUCUGUUCGACCAUUAAAGCUGUACAUGAUUUGAGUUCAUUCCGUA
rnacentral:rRNA from 1 species